rnacentral:rRNA from 1 species
GACGAACGCUGGCGGCGUGCCUAAUACAUGCAAGUCGAACGCUUCUUUCCUCCCGAGUGCUUGCACUCAAUUGGAAAGAGGAGUGGCGGACGGGUGAGUAACACGUGGGUAACCUACCCAUCAGAGGGGGAUAACACUUGGAAACAGGUGCUAAUACCGCAUAACAGUUUAUGCCGCAUGGCAUAAGAGUGAAAGGCGCUUUCGGGUGUCGCUGAUGGAUGGACCCGCGGUGCAUUAGCUAGUUGGUGAGGUAACGGCUCACCAAGGCCACGAUGCAUAGCCGACCUGAGAGGGUGAUCGGCCACACUGGGACUGAGAGACGGCCCAGACUCCUACGGGAGGCAGCAGUAGGGAAUCUUCGGCAAUGGACGAAAGUCUGACCGAGCAACGCCGCGUGAGUGAAGAAGGUUUUCGGAUCGUAAAACCCUGUUGUUAGAGAAGAACAAGGACGUUAGUAACUGAACGUCCCCUGACGGUAUCUAACCAGAAAGCCACGGCUAACUACGUG